UUUUACAAAAUUUUUAUUGUAGGCAUUUUGCCCUUAGGGAUUUUAGGAAGAAGGGCACUAUUUAAUUUAUCAUUUUUUUAAAAUAAACUCGGUCAUAUUUAUUGCAUUUUCUUUCGUGGGUACUUCAAUAGUACAACCUUUUCUAUUUGAAAUUGCAUUAAUUUUUAAAUCUCCUAAAGAGAUUUUUUUUUAAAAUGUAAUUAUCUGGUCGGAUUGAGACCAUGGUGAGAUGGUGGAGGCAUUCAAUGUUUUGAUGUCUGUUCAGGCACUCUAUUUUCAUGAUGAGAUGGUGGAGGCAUUCGAUGUUUUGAUGUCUGUUCAGGCAUUCUAUGGUCAUCAUGAGAUGGUGGAGGCAUUCGAUGUUUUGAUGCCUUUUCAAGUACUCUAUGGUCAUGAUAAGAUGGUGGAGGCAUUCAAUGUUUUGAUGCCUAUUCAGGUACUCUAUGGUCAUGAUGAGAUAAUGGAGGCAUUCAAUGUUUUAAUGUCUGAUCAGCACUCUAUGAUCAUGAUGAGAUGGAGGCAUUCAAUGUUUAAGGAUUCAUUGUGCCUGUUAGGUGGCCUUUGAAUAAAGAUAAUUCUUGGGCUAAUGGAGCAUUGGUAUAAAAUCUGUCAGUGUAUAUAUGCAUGCCAUUUAGGUGUGGAUAUUUGAUUCUGAUGUUUUUGAAAAAGAAAAAAAUAUUCUAGAGGUAAGUGAUAGAUCAGGUUGUAUUAGAGGUUCUAUAGUAAGUUUGCCAUAAUGAGGAAUAAAUAACUUUGAUCCGGCAGCAACAUAUACCCUCAAUCACAUUUUCUUGGCUUUUGAGGGUUAUAGGUUUUGAAUGAUAUUUUGCCUUUGUAUCCUACAGUUGAUUCAUCUAUUGCUAUAUUUUUUGAUGGUUUGAAAAUUGAAAGAAAUUUAUUUCUCUCAAAUAGGUAGGAUAAUUUUGUGCUUUUUGGGUCCGUGUAUGAAUAGGGGCUUCAGCUGGAGUAGGUUCUGAAAGGUGAAGCAUCCAAAAUAUUUGACUGGUGAAAACUUUUGGCAAACAUUCUUGAGAAGUUAAAAAAUCAGUAGCCCAAUGAUCUUUCAGAUUUGGCAAAAUUACUAAGCCCAUAUUUAUAAUAAGUCGGAAAAGGCCUUCGUUUCAUCUCGUGUUACAUUUCUCCAUAUACACAGUGUGGCAAAUAAUUUUUAAGAAUGGGUUUGUAAAAUAAAACAGAGACAAGCUAAUUCAAUUGCUACUAUUUUUUAUUCAAAAUAAUCCCCUCCGGAUUCAAUACAUAUGUUACAACGAUUUAAUAAGGAAUUAAAUGCCUCUUGCAGGCCACUUUGAGGAAUCGCCUCCAAAGUGCUCGUUGCAGCUGUCUGGAUGGUCGGGAUAUCAUAAAAAAAAACAACCUUUAAACUUCAAUUUUGGGAAUAAAUAAAAGUCACAUGGUGCUAAAUCAGGCGAGUACGGAGGAUGAUUCAACACAUAAGGCCUUAACCACAGUACUGGCACACUGAUCUUUAGUAGGAAUUAGUAUCGGAAAUUUGGUAAACAAAUCCACAAGAUGCUUGAGUAGCCUCUUGGUGUCGUCUCUAAAGGUCCUGCGAAGUCCAAAGCCAGGUGUUCAAAGGGUUUUUUGGGUCUAAAGUGAGGAGCAUUAGCGGCCUUGGCUACACCUCGAUUUGACAGCUGACAACUCUCGCAUCUGCGUAUAUACUUUCGGACUUGAGUCCUCAUGCCGGGCCAAUAAUAGUCAUCCUUUAGCCUUCUCAUAACCUUUUUGACUUCGAAAUGACCUCCCGUAGGGAUAUCAUGAUGAUAACUAAUCACCAUCUCCCUAAAACCUGUAGGAACCACCUUCACCCAGAUACCCCUUUCAUUUUUAGAUACAAGAUAAUUAUCUUGUACUCCCUAUUAUUAUAUGUAUCUAUAGUUCCUGGUCGUAUAUUGGCUAAUCGGUUUAUCAAGGGAGCCCAUUUCUUGUCAUUUAGCAAACCUUCCCAUACCUGAUCACUAACCAAUAAUGCGCAGAUCCAGUUUGUUUCUCUUGAUGUAGUAAAGGAAGUGAGAGUACUUUUGGACUCCUACAUCUUGAAUGCCCUCAAUAAAUGUCUGGGCAGCCCUCUUUUCCAGGAAAUCAGUGGAGGCACCAAGGUAGGCCAAGAAGGCCCUGCCUCAAACCCUUGCAAGCUCUCCUUGAUUUUUUGUUUUCUCAGCUUGAUUUGAGAUUGAUACACCUUCCUGAGAUGUUGUUCUCCGAAUCUCAACUCCAGUGAUCCCAUCAAUCUGGAAUAGCCCUGUUGGUCCGCACACAGAACUGCCUGAAGCAGGUCCAGUCCUCGAUGUGCCACACAAUCUGUUUCUCCCCAGCCAUUGUUGAGAGACACUCUCUCCUGAAACUCUCAAGGAAGGUAAGUCCAUUGAAGGCUGGUGGAGGUAUGCUGUGGCUUGUUGGAAAGAUCACAGCACCUCUGAGAUCCUUUAUGUGAGUAAACUCGGCCUCUGCUGCCCGGACCUCACCGAUAUUUCUCUCCAUUUUCUACAGUCUCUGAUGCAGCUCUUCUCUCUCUUGCUGUUGCAGAAGCCUUUCUUCUUCUAUCCUUUUCCAUAAUAAGCUUUACCUCCUCCUGCUAUCUUACAUCAUCUGGGUGAUCAUAGCAGCAAGCUCAGCUUCAAGGCCAUCUUUUGACUUCUUGUUUCAAUGGGCAUUCGUCAGCAACUUCAACCUGAUCAAGUUUGAACCCUCAAACUUCAGGGAGCGACCAUGUGACCUCUACCAGGAAAAAUCCCGCUGUCUCGUUCCAUUCAUACCUGGUGCCCUUCUUAGUCAACUCAUAUAAAGGAGCUGCUAUUUCAGAGAAACCAGCAAUGAAUUUCCUAUAGAAACCAACAGCGCAAAGAAAGAGUCUGACGCCUGAUACAGUUUUAGGAGGACUCAUGUCUUUAAUUUUUUUGAUGUUGUUCUCCUUAGGAUGAAUGCCAUCCUUGUCCACUCUGUGUCCCAAGAAGGUCACUUCUUCCUGAAAAAGCUGGCACUUGCUAGGCCUCACUUGAAGCUUAUAUUUUCUAAGUCUGUCCAACACCUCAGUUAAGUCAGCCAGAUGCUGCUCCAACGACUCCGAGUAGAUUAGAACGUCGUCAAUAAAACAUUGGCAAUUCUUUCCCAAUAGAUAUGAAGAUAUCUUACAGCCCUGAGGAAGCCUUGACAUCUCAAAUUUUCCAAAAGGGGUUUGGAAAGUGAAGCAAAGUGUUACUGUCCAGCUUCAACUGAUAAUACCCGCUGGCUAGAUCAAAGGUACUGAAAUAUUUAGCACCUCCCACAGCUGCCAUUGCGGUGUCUAUCCAGAUCAUGGGAUAAUCUUGAUUUAUUAAUUUUUUGUUGACCUGUCUAAGGUCCAGCACGAAUCUCAAGGAACCCUCAGGCGUCUUGAUAAGAUGUACUGGACUGUUCCAAUCAGAUCUGGAUCUUUUAAUGAUACCACUCUCUACAAACUUAUCCAAAAGUUCCUUGUACGGCUCUAACAAACUAUAGGGAAUAGGAUACUGCCGCCUAAAGGUAACGUCAUUUAUGUCAACGUCUAGUUUUAUAGGCGGUACCUUAGCUGCUUUUAACGUUGCGAAGAAAAGUGAAAAAUAAAACCACAAAGAAAACAGCAGUUACAAACUCACCAACUGCAGCACAGUGAGGGAAAGCAGGAGUGGAACAGGAGACAGAAGUUUGUAGAACCUUCUAGAAUCUUCCACGAAGUACACCGGCAUGUCGGCGGUAAGCAGCCCUCCCUAUAUAUCCAGAACAAUAAAGGUUGGUCAGCCAAUCAGAAAGCAGCUGCCUCUAAGAAUUGUGCAAUUGCUUUAGAUUGGCCAAUCAGUUGUUCUCCGAUUUUUCUACAUCAUUCCUGAACGUUUUGAAACAUUCUAUUCUGGAAUGCGCGCUUUUUUAUUCCAUGUAACAAUAUAUAUGUGGUAUUUCGGUGAUCUGGUUUGUUGUAUUGAGUCGUGGGGAAAGAUGAUGAUUGUGCAGUCGUGAUGGUGGUGAGUGGUAAAGCACACAGAGACGACUCUAAGGGGAAUCCGAGGCAUCAGAGAGAGAGAACGCAGAGACCAAGUUGCGGCCGGCAGGCCACUUACUAACGAUCUGUCUGCUGCUGCUGUCUGCUAUCUUGCAUCUGCUGAACUGACUACUAUUGGCUGUGGGGCAAGCCCUUUUAUAUGCUCAAGCGUUACGUCAUCGGACGUCUGGCGCCGCGGUGCCGGGGCGAUUGACCUCAUUGGGGCUACGGGUAAGUUAUUUUUGGUUUCUACGUUCUCUCUAGAUGUACCUCUGUAUUUAAUUGAACACACAAAAACGAUACAUACAAAGUUAAUUGAUUGAAAGUCCAUAAGUUCCUCUUAUUCUUGACACUAGGUUGAACCAUUCUUUAAUGGUGUUUGGUUGUACCGUUGCGAUUAAUCGCUGGUCUGCGACGGGCAGUCCGUCGGUCAGAGACUCUAUUAAUAUGUCGGCGGGUAGGUUGAGUUUCAUACCCAUAACCGUUUUGUUUUGGUAGUAGUCUUCUAGAGGCAUUUGGGGUGUCAACUUGAUAGCCAAAAAGCGUGCAAACGACGCUUCUGUCGUUGCUAGGAAUAAGUCUAUCAGUGUCUGGCGGGCAUCAUUAUAAAAUAACCUAUCUAACUGUAGGCUUCGGAAAUAUUAGAGUGGCUUACCUUGCAGGUAGCAGGGUAACUUGCGUAGGCGGUCCGUGUAGGUCAGCUCAGCUCGGUCUCCUUGGGCAUCGAAGUUGUCGAAAAAGCUCUGGGCUUCAAAGGUACCAUCGUAUGGACUCACGUCUAUCUCCCUUGGAGAUCGGGCGACCAGCAGCUUACUCAUGGCAUCGACGAUCUGUGUCAGCGGGUCUGUGGAGGUACCUUGGGGCGGCGACGUUUCCUCCUCUUCAAAUGUCGUCUCUUGUUUGGGGACAGAUUGCUCGGCCAUAUAGUUGGACUGGUUGGUU